rnacentral:rRNA from 1 species
UACGUAGGGGGCUAGCGUUGUCCGGAAUCAUUGGGCGUAAAGCGCGUGUAGGCGACCCGGUAAGUCCGCUGUGAAAGUCGGGGGCUCAACCCUCGGAUGCCGGUGGAUACUGUCGGGCUUGAGUACGGAAGAGGCGAGUGGAAUUCCUGGUGUAGCGGUGAAAUGCGCAGAUAUCAGGAGGAACACCGAUUGCGAAGGCAGCUCGCUGGGACGUUACUGACGCUGAGACGCGAAAGCGUGGGGAGCAAACAGG